AGUGCUUGGUUCCUAGUAGGUGUUCAGUAAGUGUUUGUGACAUAAUUCGUUUAUUGAGCACCUCCUAUCAAUCAAGCACUGUGCUAGGCUCUGG
ensembl:miRNA